AUGUCAGACUUAGCGGGUUAGCAAAGGGUAGGGGUUUGUACUUGAUUAUUCGAGUGAUAGUGCUGCACUUGGACGCCUAAUACUAGACAGAUGACUUGAUACGGACAUCCACCUACCCGACAAUAUGGCAGCAUGUUGUGGAUGCUGCUCUGCUCUUAAGCCAAGAUGGAAGCGUCUCGUCGACAACAUCUUCCCAGUUAACCCAGAGGAUGGACUUGUCAAGAAUGAGAUGGACAAGCUGACAUUUUAUGCCAUAUCCUCACCGGAAAAGCUGGACAGAAUUGGAACCUACAUGGAAAAAAAACUUGCCAGUGACAUACACCGUAGGAGGAUAGGACUGGUGUUCGUUGCCAUGGAUGCCCUAGAUCAGCUUCUAGUGUCCUGUCAUUCUCACUCCCUCAACCUGUUUGUUGAGAGUUUCCUGAAGAUGGUCCAAAAACUCCUUGAGUUGGAUGAACCAGACCUACAGAUUCUUGCCACACAGUCGUUUGUUAAAUUUACCAAUAUUGAAGAAGACACACCAUCCUACCACAGACGUUACGACUUCUUUGUGUCAAAGUUCAGCUCCAUGUGUCACAGCGGGAAAUCUAAUGAUGAAAUAAGAACAAGGAUACAGAGUGCAGGAUUACGUGGUCUACAGGGCGUAGUGAAAAAGACGGCCAGUGACGAUCUUCAGGUGAACAUUUGGGAGGAUGUCCACAUGGACAAAAUUGUACCGUCUCUUCUCUAUAACAUGCACAAUCAGAAUUUUAUGUGCCUGGACUUGGAUAGUCCUAAAGAUGAGGAACAUCCGGCUUAUAUUGCAGAGCAGGUGUUCCGAGACCUGGUGUGUCGGGGAUCCUACGGCAACAUCAGAACCGUCCUACGACCUGUCCUCAUACAUAUGGACAAUCAUAAGCUCUGGGUACCCAAUGACUUUGCUAUCAAGUGCUUCAAUAUUAUAAUGUAUUCUGUCCAGCAACAGUAUGCCUACCUGGUGGUACAGAUGUUGAUGUCCCACCUGGACAAACGAGUUAACAGUGACCCGGCCAUAAAGACCAGCAUCAUUGAUGUUCUCUUCCACUCUGUACUCAUUGCUGCUGGCGGCUCUCUGGGUAGUGGCCCCUCAGUCCUGGAUGUGUUCAACACCCUACUCCGACACCUGAGGAUCUCUGUGGACAACAAGAGUCAGGAUGCAGAGAUGAGGGAGAUGGAGAAGAAGUUUGAGGAGGCCAUUAUCAUUGUUAUAGGAGAAUUUGCCAACCAUCUUCCCGACUACCAGAAGAUAGAAAUAAUGAUGUUUGUCAUGGGCAAGUUUCCACAACUAGACCAGGAGGAAAUAGGAAUAUCUAUAGACAUCCAGCUACAGACAAUGUUGCUGAAGACGUUACAGAAGGUAGCCGCGACAUACAAGACGAUAUAUAUGGCCAACACAUUCCACCCCGAGUUCCUGACCGGUCUGUUACAGCUCUCUCAGCUGGAGGACCCGUCCAUGAGGAUUACCGUGCAGGAAAUACUGCACAGUCUCAUAGACCGACACAACAACACGCCAAAGUUCAAGACCAUUGUUAUCCGCAAAGAUAUUAGCCAGGUGGCUCUUAAUGAAGCAAAAGUAUCGGGACAAGACAGCUUAUUUAUGAAAAAGAACAAUGUCCAGUUCUACACUCACAUCAUGGAAAAUGUACAGAUGGAGAGUAACAAAGUAGAUAAUUACGAGGCCCUGUAUUGUACCAUGUGUCUGUUGGCUGUGGAGCUUGGCUCUGAGGAAAUCCUCACCGAAAUGCUGCGACUUGGACUAGAUAUACAGCAUUCAGUGAUGACACAAACGAGUCUGCCCAUGACCCACAGGUGUGCCAUACAUGGACUGGUGGCAGGGUUCAUCAACCUUGUGGCCCAGCUUGUCGGCCAGACACCACUCUGUCAAUACGUCAAAGAAGUGAUAGACAUCAGACGUGAUGAGGCUCCCUACCUACUGCCAGACUUUGCAUUUAACAGAUCCAACAGACCCAGCAGCUACUCUCAAAUUGACAAUGUCCAGUCUAAGUGUCUGUUUGACCAGGCCACACUACAGCAAUUCCUUGUGGACUGUGGCCAAGAUGCUUCCAGACUGACCAAUCCGAUAGCCGUCAAGCCCUUCAGCACACUCGGUGUGAGGAAUGGGGACCCGAACGAUAUGGCCGUAAGUGGAAGUGCCAGUGACGUUGGCUCCAUCAACUUUGAUAUUGAGAGCGCAGAAGGCUCGCCGAUAUUCUCCAGGAGAUGGACAGAUGAAGAGAUCACAGUCGAGUCCCUGAAGAAGAUGUUAGCUGAGGACAACACUGAGAAGAAAGAGGAAGAAGCAAGGAAGAGACAGGAGAUUUAUCAAACUUACCGCACCGCCCCAUUUGAGGAGAUUGUGGCUCGCUCUGAACAAAAAUCAUGUAAGUUCCAUACCAAGCUUACGGAGAUUCUGGACAUGGUGUCCCGCCCGCCCGACAGUCCAGAGAGGAUGCGUAAAUCCCUCCAGAUGUCACCCAAGGCUGUGUUUGAUGUGUCUUUCCCUGACCUGUUUGUGUACUGAUCUGUUUGAUGGAAGUCUGCCAGGAUUAUGUCCCUUUAUCUGUUUGUGUGUCAUUUUAAUUGGAGGCCUCUAUGCAUGUUACCUCCUUUUACCUGUUUGUUAUCUGAUCUGUUGUUGGUUUACUGGGAGACUGGAGGUUACCUCCCUUUACCUUACUAGGAAGCUGCCAUGUUAUCUCUCCAUAACUGUUUAAAAGGAUGAUACCUGAGGUAACCUCUUCUUACCUGGUAGUAUACCAAUCUCUGGAAGGCUACCUCCCCUGAUUUGGUUGUGUACCAAUUUGUGGAAGGUUACCUCCCCUGACCUGGUUGUGUACCAAUGUGUGGAAGGUUUCCUCUCCUUACCUGGUUGUGUUCCAAUAUGUGGAAGGUUACCGGGGUCCCCUGACCUGGUUGUGUACCAAUGUGGAAAGUUACCUCCCCUUACCUGAUUGUGUACCAAUCUGUGGAAGGUUACCUCCCCUUACCUGGUUGUGUACCAAUCUGUGGAAGGUUACCUCCCCUGACUUGGUUGUGUACCAAUCUGUGGAAGGUAACCUCCCCAUACCUGGUUAAGACAAAUCUGUGGAAGGUUAUCUCCCCUUACCUGGUUGUUUACCAAUCUGUGGAAGGCUGCCUCCGCUUACAUUGUUUGUUUACCUAUUUUUGUCCAUUACCUUCCCUUUUAACCAAACACUAGUCUCUUUCUGUUAUAUGUCAGUUUUGACAUAUCAUAAAAUUAUUUCAAUAAACAAUGAAAAGAAAUUGAAUUUGGUGUGUAAUUGUAAUUUGCUGGGUAAAAAUGGUAUGUAAAAUGUCUAGUUUUAUUUCACUUCAGUCCAUGAACAUUUUGACAAAUAUACAGUCUGUGACCAUUUUGACAAAUAUACAGUCUGUGACCAUUUUGACCAUUUUACACAAAGCAAAAUAAUCAGUUUUGGGAGAGGCACAGGGCAAAGUGGGGAUGGGGUAGGGUAAUCUCUAUAACAGGUCAGGCCAAUGUUUGAAAGAGAAUGGAGUAGUACUUGGAACAAAAAGAGAAUAUUUUGUGACAUUUCCAACAGAAUUAAGAACAAAGGUACCUUAUUGUGUGAAGUUUAGUAUUAAAUAUUUUGCAAUUUACUGUAGACACACUUAUCUGAGUGGUUGAUUUAUUUCAGCGCUUUUAAUGAAGAAUUUGGUAGGCAAAUUCAUUCUUAUUUCAAGUGCUAAAUGGAAAAGUUUAAAUUGGAUGAAUGGUCGUUGUGCCGUUAUGUGAUAUACCAAUUUAAGUUUGCCUGUAGUAUUACAGCAAUAGAUAUAAAUGUGAUAUCAUAUUUAUUAUGAAUAUAAAUAACAGAAGAAAUAAAAUACAUAACAGCAUCAAGAUUUCAUAUAUUUGUCCUGUUCAUAACAUUUAAAGUUUGGUAGGUAAUCCUCAUAUGUUUUAACUGUAGCAGUAUUUUGGAAGAUGUAAGUAUGUUCUUAGCAAGCUUUUGCUUUUUCCACGGUCUAAUGGGUUUCUGACUCCCACAGUCUACUGGGUUUCUGACUCCCACAGUCUACUAGGUUUCUGACUCCCACAGUCUUCAGGGAUUUCCAACUACCCUGGCUUCCAUUGGUUUCUGACUUCCACAGUCUUCAGGGAUUUCCAACCUAAGUGUUGAAGUUGCAAUUGGUUUACAUGUUCAUCUCAAAUCUUUCACAAAUGAUUUUUAUGAAAAAAAUCAACAUUUGACCAAGUUUCACAAGAAUUUAGUCAAGUGUAUGUUGUAUGUUGCCUUAGUUAUGAUAGAAUGUGAAAAAAGAUAGCUCUGUGAUUGGUUGUGGAAUGUUUUAGUAGAAGUAUGUUUAAAGACCUGAUUGAACCUCGAUUCUUGUCAGAUUUUAGAUUGUUUCCAAUACAAUUAAAAAUGAUUAUUAAAAAAUAUGAAAUAAAUUACAUAUUAUUUUCGAUGGCGAUAAGAUUGAGUCCAAGGACAUGUAAAUAUUGGAUUUUGAUUCUAAGAUUUUUAAGAUAAUGGCCUAAUAUGACCUUACCAUCAGUCUAAAGUAAGAAUGAUUAAAUUGUCCUUUGUAAGAAAUGUGUUUGAUGUGGCAUUUAGCAAAUGAAACUUGGUGCAACCAUGUCAAGGUGGUGUAUUACUUCCGAAAGGAAAAUGAGUGGAAAUGUUUUUAAUGAGAUUUUUUCGUUGUUGUAAUUUCUACACAGCUUGUAAUAUGACUAAAAUACUUGUAUUAAUGUACACCAUGUACUCUGUUCCCAAGGAAUUUCUUUGUAUUUCAUGAAAAUUAUUAUUUGUGAUAUUUAGUUUUUCGGACGUUGGUGUUUUGUGGUAAAUAUUGUAGUGUAAGACACUUUUGUAAAAUUAGGCUUAACACAAUAUAUGUGGUCGGUGUGUCCAGCACCGAUAUACAGGUAAAUAUAGGUCUUUGUGGUCAGUGUGUCCCGUACCGAUAUACAGGUAAAUAUAGGUAAAGUUUUUAACCUUACUGGAUAUACUGUACCUACUUUUAUUUCUAGACCACAUGUUGUCUCCAACAUUCAAUUAGAGUAAUUUUUAUUCUAAAUCCAGUCAAAAAAAAUGAUAUCAGUUCAGCCUUUAAUUUAUUAUUAAACAAAUAUUAACAAUUUACUUGAAUUGAAUGAAUGAAGAAUUUAACAGAAACUUGAGUGAAUUUGUAGGAAGAGUAGGAGAAUAUUCAGUAAACAGGCAUCAAGACAUAUUUUACACAUACUUAAGUCUCACAAUUUGGUAUGAAAGAAACAAUUUAUCUAUACAUGUUUUUGCUUUAAAUGUUAAUUUGCAUAUUAUUUAUAAAAUUAAUUAAUUUAAUACUUUUAUGUACAAAUAAUUUUUAUCGUAGCAGUAUUUGCACAAAGUUGAGAAUAGUUGUGUAUAUGAUCAUGUACCCUGGUACAUGUACAUUGUAUUUUAUGUUAAUUAUGCAAUAGAACUGUAAUAAACGAUGUUACCUCAAA
rnacentral:misc_RNA from 1 species